AACGAACGCUGGCGGCAUGCCUAACACAUGCGAGUCGAACGAGACCUUCGGGUCUAGUGGCGCACGGGUGCGUAACGCGUGGUAACCUGCCCUUAGGUUCGGAAUAACUCCCCGAAAGGGGUGCUAAUACCGGAUAAUGUCUUCGGACCAAAGAUUUCUCGCCUUUGGAUGGGCCCGCGUUGGAUUAGCUAGUUGGUAGGGUAAAAGCCUACCAAGGCGACGAUCCAUAGCUGGUCUGAGAGGAUGAUCAGCCACACUGGGACUGAGACACGGCCCAGACUCCUACGGGAGGCAGCAGUGGGGAAUAUUGGACAAUGGGCGAAAGCCUGAUCCAGCAAUGCCGCGUGAGUGAUGAAGGCCUUAGGGUUGUAAAGCUCUUUUACCCGGGAUGAUAAUGAUAGUACCGGGAGAAUAAGCGCCGGCUAACUCCGUG
rnacentral:rRNA from 1 species